AGUGGUGCAAGUGUAGACGGGAACGCCAGUUGGCCUUUUCAAGUUCAGUGUUAAAAAUAUUGAUUUUUCAAAACUAAAAUUUAACAUCGAGAUAUUUUUACCUGGUACGAUAGAUCCCUUUACCGACAGCAGCAAUUGUUCCUAACCAAGCAAAAUUAACCCAAUACUAAAAGGAAAAGGUUCACUUUCAGCCGCAGUCACGAUGGAUGGCCGGACGAUCGCCAACGGAACGCUUCCGCAGUUCGUCUCCAGAAGUUGCUCGGCC